rnacentral:tRNA from 1 species
UGUCAAGGGAUGAGAAUCAAACCCACGACCUUCCGCUUACCGGGCAGAUGCCAUGACCACUAGGCUACCCUGGAC